rnacentral:misc_RNA from 1 species
CACCAAUCAAGCCACGCUUGGUAUUGGGCGCGUGGCCCCUCCUCGGAGAGGCCCGCCCGAAAUGCAUCGGCGAGGAAACCGACCCCCGGCGUGUUAGAUUUCUGAACGUCAGGAGCACCGGUGCCCCCAGCCGUACAAUCUUUUUUCUCAA